GUCACAACUCCAGAUAUGAUCGAAAAAAUUCAUCAAAUGAAGUUUGAUAGUAUAGAAAGCUUGAUUUUGAAAUAAUUGGAUAUAAAUAAAGGAGAAGGAAGAGUAAUGAUAGAAAGUUGGCUGAACAACAGAAAGCUGGAGGAGGAAAAACAAAGAAAACUGUACAGCCCAGAACAAGGACAUAAGGUGUUAAGAAGUAGAAGAAAUAAAGGAAGAGAAUCAGGAAAAAUGGAAAGAAAAUUAUGGAAAACGAAAAAAGGGAAUUACAAGAAAGAAGAAGAUGAAAAAUUAAAACAAAAGCUACAUAAAAUGCAGGAAAAAGUAAAGGAACUGGAAGAAUGAUUUUAACUAGGACAAAAAAAUUAAAAGAAGAUUGGAGGGAAAUGGAACUAGAGGAGCUUGAGAUAGACAUGUGGUGAAACAGGUAGGGGAACAAAAUAAAAGAACAAGGAGAAUGGAUAUGGAAUUGGAAUAAAAAAGAACGGAAGAGAAGAAACUAAACCUGAUAAUUUUUGGAAUAGAAUUAGAGGAAAACAAAGCGAAGGGAUAGUUGAAAAGAGUUAUAAAAAGGUAUAUAAAGUAAAGAAAGUAUGGAAAAUUGAAAACAAACUUAAAAAGGAGUAGGGAGAAAAAAUGCAGGUGAUUAGAAACGACAGAAAACUAAGAGGGAUGGAGGUUUAAUAAGAGAUAAUAUGAUUGUGGAAGAGAGAAGAAUACAAAAGAUGCUAGAACUAAUGGUAACAGAGAGGAAAAAGAAUGUCUAUAAGUUUUGUCCGAGAAAAUAACAAAAGAUGAGGUAGUAUCGAUAAGGGACGAGGAAAAAGAAGCAAUAAAAAGAGAGAAGGUCACCGGAUGUAACUAAAUUUUAAAUCGGUGUACCUACACUGAAGACUCCAAAAACAAAUACAGGAUCGUUAGUUAAAUAAACAUGUACAGUCUAGAACACUAAUUAUUAUAGUUAAAUAUUUUUCACAUUGUAAAUAGUAUAAAUGCAUAUAUAAAUAAUGUAUCAGUAACCACAAAUAAAUAAAUAAAUGUACCAACACUUAUACACAUAAGCGAAUAUUUCAUAAGUUUGAAAUGUUAUUAUUUUCGGUGAAAUAAUGGGCACAUUGAUUUUUAAAACAGCUUUAUUAGGUGAUCACGAUAAACUAAACAAAAAAGUUAUUGGGUCGGAGGUAAAUUCAGUUCUGCCCGUUUUAGUCGUAUUUUUGUAUAUUAAAGUACACAAUAUAUGGGUGUUUUUCUUUCCUUUUUAUAUAUAUAUUCACA